GUCCUCACUUCGACAGCACUUAGACUAAAAUUGGAAUGAUGCAGAGAUUAGCAUGGCCCCUGCACAAGAACAUAAUUUGUCCCUGAGACAAAUACCUGGUAAAA